rnacentral:rRNA from 1 species
GACGAACGCUGGCGGCGUGCUUAACACAUGCAAGUCGAACGGUGAAGCGCCUUCCUUUUUGGGGGGUGUGGAUGAGUGGCGAACGGGUGAGUAACACGUGAGUAACCUGCCCCCUUCUUCUGGAUAACCGCAUGAAAGUGUGGCUAAUACAGGAUAUUCUGGGUCUGUCGCAUGAUGGGUCUGGGGAAGAUGUUGUUUCGGUGGGGGAGGGGCUCGCGGCCUAUCAGCUUGUUGGUGGGGGGGUGGCGUACCAAGGCGGUGGCGGGUGGCCGGCGUGAGGGGGUGGACGGUCACACUGGGACUGAGACACGGCCCAGACUCCUACGGGAGGCAGCAGUGGGGAAUAUUGCACAAUGGGCGGAAGCCUGAUGCAGCGACGCCGCGGGAGGGAUGGAGGCCUUCGGGUUGUGAACCUCUUUCGCCAGUGAAGCAGGCCUGCCUCGUUUGUGGGUGGGUUGACGGUAGCUGGAUAAGAAGCGCCGGCUAACUACGUG